AGGACGAACGCUGGCGGCGUGCCUAAUACAUGCAAGUAGAACGCUGAAGGAGGAGCUUGCUCUUCUGGAUGAGUUGCGAACGGGUGAGUAACGCGUAGGUAACCUGCCUGGUAGCGGGGGAUAACUAUUGGAAACGAUAGCUAAUACCGCAUAAGAGUAGAUGUUGCAUGACAUUUGACUUAAAAGGUGAC
rnacentral:rRNA from 1 species